GGGGGCACAACUGGGCUAAGCAGCUCUAGUCUGUGACUCAUGAGCAUAUUAGAAGAAGGUCAUUGUUAUCAACUAGUCUGCUAUGUCAGACAUGCAAAAGGGGAUCUGUCUUUGGCUGGAGGCAUGAUAAACAUAAUAAUAAUAAUGGCUGUCCAUUGUCUUUUCACAGCAAGGGUUAAAUCAUCAGCAUCAGGACCAGACUUAUAGCUUGGCUUUUCUUCACUCCAGGUAAUUUACAAAGGGGCUCCAUUGUCAUCGCAUAAUAGGAAAUGGCUGCAGUGUAGAAGAAUGCUUAAUUCGGCAGAGAGGGACAUGGCUCUUGAAUGUGCAUUUUUGCUCAAAAGGUGUAAUUAAUAAAAUAU